GACGAACGCUGGCGGCGUGCUUAACACAUGCCAGUCGAACGGAAAGGCCCUGCUUUCGUGGGGUGCUCGAGUGGCGAACGGGUGAGUAACACGUGAGUAACCUGCCCUUGACUUUGGGAUAACUUCAGGAAACUGGGGCUAAUACCGGAUAGGAGCUCCUGCUGCAUGGUGGGGGUUGGAAAGUUUCGGCGGUUGGGGAUGGACUCGCGGCUUAUCAGCUUGUUGGUGGGGUAGUGGCUUACCAAGGCUUUGACGGGUAGCCGGCCUGAGAGGGUGACCGGCCACAAUGGGACUGAGGUACGGCCCAGACUCCAACGGGAGGCAGCGGUGGGGAAUAUUGCACAAGGGGCGGAAGCCUGAUGAAGCAACGCCGCGUGCGGGAUGACGGCCUGCGGGUUGUAAACCGCUUUCGCCUGUGACGAAGCGUGAGUGACGGUAAUGGGUAAAGAAGCACCGGCUAACUACGUG
rnacentral:rRNA from 1 species